UCAAGUUUACAUUAAAUGUCAACUGCUAUCUUUUGCAGCAGCCCAUUUAUUAGUUGCUGUAUGCCUGCUUUCAAACCAGGUUUGUUGGCAGGGGCGGUUCUUGGGCCCGGCCAGGGUGGGCACAUGCCCAGGCUCGGGCCCAAUAAUUUUUUUGGGUAUGUGGCUAAAAAAGCCAAAAAAAAAAAUUAAAAAGAAAAAGAAAAAAGAGUGAACGAAACGAAACUCGGAAGGGGAAAAAGCUCCGCACAACAUCUCCCUCCAUCGUCGUCGCCUCCGCCAGGCUGCCACUACACCUCCCCGUCUCCUCCCUCCACCACCGCAGUUCAUAACCGUCGGUCUCCUUCCUCCUCCAGGGCUCCGCCAUUUCCGUGCCUCUGCUUUUUCACCUUAGCUUGUUGAAUUUCCCUCUAUCUCACUACAUUAGGAGAAGAAGCGGUUAACAUUGCAUUAGCGACUGUACUUUCUUCUCAUGAUGUUAUCUUGCCUCAGUAUCGGGGGCCUGGAGUUCUAUUAUGGCAUUGUUAUUGUGGAGACGGAAUUACUAGUGAGGGAGAUUUUCACGCUGCUAUGAACUUUGCAGCAGUAAUGGAUGCACCAUUUGUUUUCAUGUGCCGUAACAACGGAUGGGCCAUCAGUACCCCUGUCGAAGAACAAUUUCAAAGUACUCUAUACAAAUUCUGUCUACUUAAGUUGCUUAUUCCAACAAGCUCUAUAACAUUCUCAAGUCUAUAUGAUUAGCUUUGGUGUUUUGAUUAGGUGAUGGUAUUGUGGUGAAAGAUCAAAGUGCAAAGAAGUCUCGGAAAUGACAUUUGUCUCGUGAUUUUAUUUAACACACUAUUGUAAGGUUA